rnacentral:lncRNA from 1 species
GGGGGGGGGGAAUUGGGUAGUAAGGAUAUGAUGACUAUACGCUAAUGUCACGUGUAGCUCCUCAUUGAGGAAUGAUUAAUGGGAAUUGUGUGUAUGAUCCUGUAAGCUAACCAAUAUAUGACCCCGCUUUCCCAAUUUAUAUAUGUUUUAAAUGAACUUCCUUUUCUUUACGUAUAUACAUGCAAAUAGUUUAAAUCUCUCCCUUGCUUCCAGUAAGCUAAUCAUACCUGUGUUUAGAAUGUGAAAGCAUGCCUUUAUUUGAGAAUAUAUGUUGAAAUUAUUUAUUGCUAAUUCACAUAGUUUAAAUUCAGCUGGGACUCACCAUUGUGGACCACAAGGGGUAUCUAACACUUUCCCGUCAAGGUUAUUUGAGCCCUUAUCCUAAUCUCUAGUAAUGCAAACUGGUUCAUGAGUUAACUGCUUUAGAGUUGUUCCCGGUGAAUGUCAAAACCCGUACUCUGCGAGGAGAAAGGGGAAGCAACAACAUGGCAACUUUGAUGGGGAUAUUUAGGAUUUUACCAUAACGAACUUAUUUUUGUGAAUAAGUCCAAGCAUGCCUUAUCCCGUACCAUUUCCCUUAUUUGAAUUUAAUUGUCUAUUUUCAAGCAUUUAUGAUUUCUUUUCCAUAAACUAACUUGUCUCCUUAUUUUCUUUUUUCCAUAACUACCUUUCAAUUAUUCAAAUACUGCAUUUAUUAUUUUCCUACGUGAAAAUACUUGACAAUAUGCUAUUUAUUAUUGCAUAAAUCAUGCUCCACAUCAUAUUUCAAUCGUGUAUGUUAAAUCCUAUAGCAACUCUUGAUGAGUGGUUGCGCUCUUCUAGUUUAUUACCCUUAAAUUGGAAAGGUUUAUUUGCGGUAAAACAAGUCAAUCAGUGGUGCAGUAGACAAUUUCGUGUCUUUCCCCCUGAAGUUGUCCGCAUAAGGGUACCAGUCUAGACCCCCAUAGUAGCCACUCUAAUUGUAAUUGUGCAUGUAUUAUGGUCAAACCUAGUCAGAUUAAUAUGUUGUCCACAUAAUAAUCCUUUAAGACGAGCCUUAUCAAAAAUUCCCCGGUGUUUCCAUAAUCCCAACGGACGUAAUCACGUACUGUGCAUUAAUUUGGAGAACUAAAUGCUAAUAAUGCUAAUCACGAAUGUACAAAUAGUCGAGUCUGGUGGGGGAGAAGGGCCUAAAAUUUUUGUUUUGCAGAAAAUGAGGCACGAGGUCCCCAGAUUCGGCAUGGUCAGCAACAUUCCACCAUUUCUACUAGAUUGGUGGGAGGGCCUUUUCUCAAGUGAAAAGAAACACAUAAGAAAGUACUUGGGAAAUUUAUCUUCUCUACUAGACAUUCAGCCAAACAAUAGGUUGAUCGAGGCUGCCACUUUGUUCUGGGACCAUAAAGGAUUGUGUUCCAUUUCGAAGAUAUGGAAGUGACAUCACUCCUUGAAGAAAUUAAGGACUUGCGAGACUGAGUUGGGAUAGCUUUAGGUUGUUGGUACCAGAGAAGUGUACUGGCAAAGGGUUCCUAAAGAUGAUGGGGUUGAAGAAAUCUUACAUACCCUUCGAAUACUUGUAUGAGAUAUAUGGCCAUAACAAGUCCUUCUGUACCUUCCAUGGCGAG